AGUUCUGCCAAAGUAUCAAGUUCUAGUAAAUCGACAACAACCAAGCAAUAUCCAACCAACAUAAAGGCUUCAAGCUACGGCUUAUUUUCAGCACAUUUGAUUCAUAAGCUCAGCCACAAACCAACAGCAUACUUCAAGGUCAAGCGCGAGAGUAAGAACUACACAAGGAGUUAGAGUACCUUAGCAAAACUUUGCUAUCAGGUUGAGCUGUGAUGGGCGAUGAAGUGUUGCUGAAUGGAGUUUUUGUCGAACUUAAAGUAGGCUCAGAAAGGAUACAUGUCUUCAUACAUGUAUCUCAGUUAUGCAUUCCGCUGUAAACACUGAUUAUUUCAGUUACACCUUCCGUUACAAACUCUGAUAAUGUUUUAGCCAAGCCCCUAAAAAUGCCUUUUUCCUUUUAAGGAAUAUAACGCGUAUACAAGUUCUUUGAGUACCCUUUUUAUGCGAACUAUGCCUUUUUCCUUUUUAAGGAAUAUUUCACGCGUAUUCAA